UAAAUAAGAAGUAAAAUACACUCUAGUUUCGACCUAGCUUUAGAUGUUAAAUCAUCCUUAUUU
rnacentral:tRNA from 1 species